GUUCAGGAGAUAUCUAUGCACUGGUUACUUCACCAACGUGGCAAGAAGGUACGGCUUUUAUCCCAGCAAUGAUAAAAAGUCAAGAUAGAUAACUGAAAUGUUGUGGUUUUCUCUCAGGUCAGUUGGGAAGGUGUUUUGCACAAUGUAUGGGCACGGAUCCAUGGUUCACAUUCAUCCAUCAUCAACGCUCUUUGACCAGCUGGACUGGUGAUCUUCCAUGAUUCCUAAGCUCCAUGAGGUGGAUGUGUAUGAGCUGAGCAGCGUGGCCAGAGAGGAGGUGGCCAAGUGGGAGACAAGGAAGCAGCUAAAAGGCAAACAGAGGGGUCUGCUGAAGACGCAUUCAAGAAACUGUAGAAAUGGAACGAUGAAAUCUCAGUGAGCGAUGCCCAUGCUCGCUACCUACAGAAAAAACAGCAGCGGCAACAAGGCAAAGCACUGUGAGGGGGGAGGACAUUGGACACUUAUCCUCAGGGGAAGAAGGACUCCGUUAUUGGACUGACCAGGACAGAAGAAUCUCCACUCAGGGGUUAAAAGUCUGUCUGUUAAAAUAAACUGCACAGGCAAUGUUCAAACCAAUGUUUUCCAACACAGGAGUCUGAGAGUUGAGGGUCAAACGUUGUCCUAUGUAGCUCAGUUUGUAAAGCAUGGUGCUAGUAACGCUAGGGUAGUGGGUUCAAUUCCUGGGACCACUGAUGUGGAAAAUGUAUGUAUGCAUGACUGUAAGUCACUUUGGAUAAAACUGUCUGCUAAAUAUUAUAUUUAAAUGUACAUUAAUAAUGGACUAGGUGCAGAUAAUGAAUCCUAGUCAUAUCAAAUGUACUGCAGAUGUUUUAUGCUAUGUUAUCUUUUAGUGGUAUAUUUCUUUUUUAGUUUCAUACCAAUCAACGUUUUUGUCAUGAGAGUACAUUUUCCCAGUGGAGGGCCUCCAUUCUCUUCUGGUUCUGG
rnacentral:lncRNA from 1 species